UAGGGAAUAUUGCUUAAUGGGCGAAAGCCUGAAGCAGCAACGCCGCGUGUGCGAUGAAGGCCUUCGGGUUGUAAAGCACUUUUUGAGGGGAUGAGGAAGGACAGUACCCUCAGAAUAAGCCUCGGCUAACUACGUGCCAGCAGCCGCGGUAAAACGUAGGAGGCAAGCGUUAUCCGGAUUUACUGGGCGUAAAGCGCGUGCAGGCGGCUCGAAAAGUUGGAUGUGAAAGCUCCUGGCUUAACUGGGAGAGGUCGUUCAAUACUUUCGGGCUAGAGGAUGGGAGAGGGAGGUGGAAUUCCGGGUGUAGUGGUGAAAUGCGUAGAUAUCCGGAGGGACACCAGUGGCGAAGGCGGCCUCCUGGCCCAUUUCUGACGCUCAGACGCGAAAGCUAGGGUAGCAAACGG
rnacentral:rRNA from 1 species